GACGAACGCUGGCGGCGUGCUUAACACAUGCAAGUCGAACGGAAAGGCUCCAGCUUGCUGGAGUACUCGAGUGGCGAACGGGUGAGUAACACGUGGGUAAUCUGCCCUGCACUCUGGGAUAAGCCUGGGAAACUGGGUCUAAUACUGGAUAUGACCUUUCUCCUUAUGGUGUUUGGUGGAAAGUUUUUCGGUGUAGGAUGAGCCCGCGGCCUAUCAGCUUGUUGGUUGGGUGAUGGCCUACCAAGGCGACGACGGGUAGCCGGCCUGAGAGGGUGAUCGGCCACAUUGGGACUGAGAUACGGCCCAGACGCCUACGGGAGGCAGCAGUGGGGAAUAUUGCACAAUGGGCGGAAGCCUGAUGCAGCGACGCCGCGUGAGGGAUGACGGCCUUCGGGUUGUAAACCUCUUUCAGCAGGGACGAAGCGUAAGUGACGGUACCUGCAGAAGAAGCACCGGCUAACUACGUG
rnacentral:rRNA from 1 species